UGAAUACGAGACGCUAAGGCGUUGAAGUAGUGUAUGUCAUACUUCCAAGAAAAGCUUGCACUGUCAUAGAUAAAAAACGCCUGUACCAUAACCGACACAGGUGGGUAGGUAGAGUAUACUAAGGGGCGCGAGAUAACUCUCUCUAAGGAACUCGGCAAAAUAACUCCGUAACUUCGGGAGAAGGAGUGCCUUAUUUAUAAGGCUGCAAUAACAAGAUCCAAGCAACUGUUUAUCAAAAACACAGGUCUCCGCUAAGUCGUAAGACGAUGUAUGGGGGCUGACGCCUGCCCAGUGCCAGAAGGAUAAAGAAGUUGGUUAGCAAUAGCGAAGCUGAUAACUGAAGCCCUGGUGAACGGCGGCCGUAACAAUAACGGUCCUAAGGUAGCGAAAUUCCUUGUCGGGUAAGUUCCGACCCGCACGAAAGGCGUAAUGAUUUGGAUACUGUCUCGGAGAGGGGCUCGGUGAAAUAGACUUGUCUGUGAAGAUGCGGACUACCUGCACCAGGACAGAAAGACCCUAUGAAGCUUUACUGUAACUUGAAAUUGAAAUUGGACUUUAUUCGCGCAGUAUAGGUGGGAGGCGUUGAUUGUAAUCUUGCGGGAUUAUUGGAGCCAUCAGUGAGAUACCACCCUUGUAAUGUUAGAUUUCUAACUUUGAAUCAUUAUCUGGUCAAAGAACAGUUUCAGGCGGGCAGCUUGACUGGGGCGGUCGCCUCCUAAACGGUAACGGGGGCGUACAAAGGUUUCCUCUGAACGGUUAGAAAUCGUAUCUAGAGUGUAAAGGCAUAAGGAAGCUUGACUGUGAGACCUACAAGUCGAGCAGGGACGAAAGUCGGUCUUAGUGAUCUGACGGUACUGAGUGGAAAGGCCGUCACUCAACGGAUAAAAGUUACUCUAGGAUAACAGGCUGAUCUCCCCCAAGAGUUCACAUCGACGGGGAGGUUUGGCACCUUGAUGUCGGCUCAUCGCAUCCUGGGGCGGUAGUACGUCCCAAGGGUUGGGCUGUUCGCCCAUGAAAGCGGUACGCGAGCUGGGUUCAGAACGUCGUGAGACAGUUCGGUCCAUAUCCGGUGUAGGCGUUAGAAUAUUGAGAGGAGCCUUCUUUAGUACGAGAGGACCGAGAAGGACAUACCUCUGGUGUACCAGUUAUCGUGCCAACGGUAAACGCUGGGUAGCUAUGUAUGGAGUGGAUAACCGCUGAAAGCAUCUAAGUGGGAAGCCCACCUCAAGAUAAGUAUUCUCA
rnacentral:rRNA from 1 species